AUGCUGCAGCAGCACAAAUACUAAAAUUUGAGCAGUACAGAGAUUAGCAUGGCGGCUAUGCAAGGAUGAUGUGCAGAUUUAUGAAGCAUGCUGUAUUUUU
rnacentral:snRNA from 1 species